GCCAGCAGCCGCGGUAAUACGUAGGUCCCGAGCGUUGUCCGGAUUUAUUGGGCGUAAAGCGAGCGCAGGCGGUUUGAUAAGUCUGAAGUUAAAGGCUGUGGCUCAACCAUAGUUCGCUUUGGAAACUGUCAAACUUGAGUGCAGAAGGGGAGAGUGGAAUUCCAUGUGUAGCGGUGAAAUGCGUAGAUAUAUGGAGGAACACCGGUGUCGACGCGGCCG
rnacentral:rRNA from 1 species